rnacentral:rRNA from 1 species
AGCAUAUCAAUAAGCGGAGGAAAAGAAACUAACAAGGAUUCCCUUAGUAACUGCGAGUGAAGAGGGAAAAGCUCAAAUUUAAAAUCUGGCAGUGUUUCACUGUCCGAGUUGUAACCUAGAGAAGUGUAACCUGUGCUGGACCGUGUAUAAGUCUCCUGGAAUGGAGCAUCACAGAGGGUGAGAAUCCCGUCUUUGACACGGACUACCAGUGCAUUGUGGUUGCGCUCUCAACGAGUCGAGUUGUUUGGGAAUGCAGCUCUAAAUGGGUGGUAAAUUCCAUCUAAAGCUAAAUAUUGGCGAGAGACCGAUAGCGAACAAGUACCGUGAGGGAAAGAUGAAAAGAACUUUGGAAAGAGAGUUAAACAGUAUGUGAAAUUGUUGAAAGGGAAACGUUUGAAGUCAGUCGCGUUGGCCGGGGAUCAACCUGACAAAUUUGUUGGGUGUACUUCCUGGUUGAUGGGUCAACAUCAGUUUUGACUGCCAGAAAAAGGCCAAGGGAAUGUGGCACCUUUGGGUGUGUUAUAGCUCUUGGUUGUAUAUGGCGGUUGGGACUGAGGAAAGCAGUGUGCCGAAAGGCCGGGUUUCGACCACGUUCACACUGAGGAUGUUGGCAUAAUGGCUUUAAGCGACCCGUCUUGAAACACGGACCAAGGAGUCUAACAUGCAUGCGAGUGUUUGGGUGGAAAACCCUUACGCGUAAUGAAAGUGAAAGUUGAGAUCCCUGUCGUGGGGAGCAUCGACGCCCGGACCAGAACUUUUGGGACGGAUCUGCGGUAGAGCAUGUAUGUUGGGACCCGAAAGAUGGUGAACUAUGCCUGAAUAGGGUGAAGCCAGAGGAAACUCUGGUGGAGGCUCGUAGCGAUUCUGACGUGCAAAUCGAUCGUCAAAUUUGGGUAUAGGGGCGAAAGACUAAUCGAA